CCUACGGGUGGCAGCAGUGGGGAAUAUUGCUCAAUGGGCGAAACCCUGAUGCAGCGAAGCCGCGUGAAGGAAGAAGUCUUUCGGUAUGUUAACUUCUAUCAGCAAGGAAGAAAAUGACGGUACCUGACUAAUCAGCCACGGCUAACUACGGUACAGCAGCCGCGGUAAUAAGUAGGCGGCGAGAGUUAUCCGGAUUUACUGGGUGUAAAGGGAGCGUAGGCGGGUUAGCAAGUCAGAAGUGAAAGCCCUGGGCUCAACUCCGGAAUUGCAUUUGAAACUGUUGGACUUGAGUGCAGUAGAGGUAAGCGGAAUUCGUGGUGUAGCGGUGAAAUGCGUAGAUAUUAGGAGGAACACCAGUGGCGAAGGCGGCUUACUGGACUGUAAAUGACGUUGAGGCUCGAAAGCGUGGGGAGCAAACAGGAUUAGAUACCCGAGUAGUC
rnacentral:rRNA from 1 species